AUCUGAAAUAAAUUUUAGAUCUGAAUAUAUUAAUUAAAAUUUAAUUUGAAUCUAGUAUGAUUGUUGAAAAUUUUCUUACAUGCAUAGAUUCAUAGUUAUUAUUCAUAUGUUUGACAUGUGAAAGAUAAUUAGAUCUUGUUGGUGCAGAAUUCCCCUGAAGUCGGAGUUGCUGGAGUCGAGAUGACCACGAUCGCCGUCGGGACUUGCAAGAAAAGUUUAAACCAGAGUUGGGGGUGCUCCGGCAAGACCCUCCAACGCUUAAGUCAGUACUCUGCUUCAACAGAAAUGGGUGCUCGAGUGGGAAUUUUAGCAAAGUUUUGAGAUAGAGUUUUGAGCUUAA
rnacentral:lncRNA from 1 species